UACAGAGGUCCCAAGCGUUGUUCGGAUUCACUGGGCGUAAAGGGUGCGUAGGUGGUCGGGUAAGUCUGAUGUGAAAUCUCCGAGCUUAACUCGGAAAUGGCAUUGGAUACUAUUCGGCUGGAGGUUUGGAGGGGGGACUGGAAUUCUCGGUGUAGCAGUGAAAUGCGUAGAUAUCUGGAGGAACACCGGUGGCGAAGGCGGCAUCCUGGACCGACACUGACGCUGAGGAGCGAAAGCCAGGGGAGCAAACGGG
rnacentral:rRNA from 1 species